GGGGGUAUAGCUCGGUUGGUAGAGUGCUUGCUUGGCAUGCACAAGGCCUUGGGUUCAAUCCCCAAUACCACAC
rfam:Ictidomys tridecemlineatus contig031180, whole genome shotgun sequence.